rnacentral:rRNA from 1 species
CAAUAGCGUAUAUUAAAGCUGUUGCGGUUAAAAAGCUCGUAGUUGGAUUUCUGUCAAGGACAACUGGUCCGCCCCUCGGGUGAGCACAUAGUUUGGUCUUGGCAUCUUGUUGGAAACUGUUGCUGCACUUGGUUGUGUGGCGCAGUGUCCAGCACUUUCACUUUGAGGAAAUUGGAGUGUUUCAAGCAGGCACAUGCCUUUGGACACAGUAGCAUGGAAUAAUUAGAUUGGGCUUUUGCUCCAACUUGUCGGUUUCUGGAGCUGAGGUGAGAAUUAAUGGGGAUUGUUGGGGGCAUCCGAAUUUAGCCGUCAGAGGUGAAAUUCUUGGAUUUGCUAAAGACGGACAACUGCGAAAGCGUUUGCCCAGGAUGUUUUCAUUGA